ACAAGCGGUGGAGCACGUGGUUUAAUUCGAUGAUAAGCGAAGAACCUUACCUGGGCUUGACAUACUAGCAGUAGGAGCCAGAGAUGGUAACGACCCCUACUUUUGGUAGGGGAACUAGUACAGGUGAUGCAUGGCUGUCGUCAGCUCGUGUCGUGGGACGUUGGGUUAAGUCCCGAAACGAGCGCAACCCCUGUUGUUAGUUGCCAGCGGGUAAUGCCGGGGACUCUAACAAGACUGCUGGUGAAUAGCCGGAGGAAGGAGGGGAUGACGUCAAGUCAUCAUGUCCCUUAUGUCCAGGGCGACACACAUGCUACAAUGGGAGGUACAAAGGGCUGCUAAACCGUAAGGUCAUGCGAAUCCCAGAAAGCCUUCCUUAGUUCGGAUUGAGGUCUGCAACCCGACCUCAUGAAGCCGGAAUCGCUAGUAAUCGCAGGUCAGCCACACUGCGGUGAAUAUGUACUCAGGGCUUGUACAC
rnacentral:rRNA from 2 species